UGAGAUGAAUCUUGGGACGAUGAAAUCGUUAAACUCGAUUCCGUGAGUGAUAAUCUGGGCGUGUACUCGUUGGAGGUGAUUUGGAUUCUUACAUGACUGUAAGAGAGAGAUGAACUUUUCUUCGAGAAGUCUGAGGGGUUUUGAGGCUAAAUUGAAAGUAAUGUUGGUUAUGUUUAGCAGUGAAUUACUCAAUUAGCUGCAACGGAACAGACUGAUUUAAUUUCAAAAGUGUUGUCACUUAGAGAAAGAAAACAAUCCUGAAAUCAGAAAUGUUCACAAUAAUGAAUAAUCAACCCUCACCUUCUGUUCAAAUCAAAGAAUCAACUCGGUAACAGACCACUAGUUUAU
rnacentral:lncRNA from 1 species